GACGAACGCUGGCGGCGUGCUUAACACAUGCAAGUCGAACGGGUCUGCCCUGUUUUUUGCGGGGUGGGUCAGUGGCGAACGGGUGAGUAACACGUGAGUAACCUGCCCCUCACUUCUGGAUAACCGCUUGAAAGGGUGGCUAAUACGGGGUGUUCUGGCUGUGCCGCGUGGUGUGGCUGGGAAAGAUUCACUUUUGUGGUGUUUUGGUGGGGGAUGGGCUCGCGGCCUAUCAGCUUGUUGGUGGGGUGAUGGCCUGCCAAGGCUUUGACGGGUAGCCGGCCUGAGAGGGUGGGCGGUCACACUGGGACUGAGAUACGGCCCAGACUCCGGCGGGAGGCAGCAGUGGGGGGUAUUGCACAAUGGGCGGAAGCCUGAUGCAGCGACGUCGCGUGAGGGAUGGAGGCCUUCGGGUUGUGAACCUCUUUCGCCGGUGAAGAAGGUCCUGCUCUUUGUGGUGGGGUUGACGGUAGCCGGGUUAUGAAGCGCCGGCUAACUACGUG
rnacentral:rRNA from 1 species